AAAAUUCGUGAGACAUAAUUUAAGAAAAUUUUAAGAAUAUAUUAAUGAAAUAGAAAGAAACAGUGAAAUGACAUCAUCAUCAUCAUCAUCAUCAGCCUAUAGGAGCCCACUGCUGAGCAAAGGCCUGUUCUCACAUGGAGAAGAUAUUAUUUCACCUGACGACGGUACUGGCCACUAUUACGUUGAGUUUUAGCAGUAUAGUGAAACCUCCUUCGAAUGAUGGCAAAAAUUUCGAGCUGUUAAUACUUCACAACAAUGAUAUGCAUGCACGAUUUGAACAGACCUCGCAGCUUAGCGGGGCCUGCACCACACUCGAUAGAGAAGCAGGAAAAUGUUACGGAGGCUUCCCGAGAGUAGCGACUGUAGUGAAAGAGGCACGAAGAAAAGCAGCAUCCGGCGAAGGUCCACCCGUCUUAUAUCUAAACGCUGGUGACACUUACACAGGCACGGCCUGGUUCACAAUCUACAAAUGGAAGGUUGCUGCGGAAUUCUUGAACGCUCUACAACCAGAUGCUGUUUCUUUGGGCAAUCAUGAGUUCGACAAUGGAAUCUCCGGAUUAACUCCAUUUAUAACGAACUUAACUUGCCCAGUUUUAGCUGCAAACAUUAUACUUGAUAAAGUUCCGAAGUUGAGAAAGGAAGAAAACUUGUUGAGAUCUGUUGUAUUUAAUAUCAAUAACGUUAAAGUCGGCGUAAUCGGAUAUCUAACUCCUGAUACGAAAUUUUUAGCAAUAAAGAACGACGUCGAAUAUAUUGAUGAAGUUGCAGCGAUCAGGCGCGAGGUUGAGAGUUUGAAGACGGAGGGUGUAAAUAUUUUGAUAGCUUUAGGACAUUCAGGUUUCACCAAAGAUAAAGAUAUAGCGUAUGCAGUAGACGGUAUAGACCUUGUUAUUGGAGGUCAUACUAAUACAUUCUUAUGGAACGGGUUGACUUCGGACGUGGAAAUUCCAGAGGGUCCUUAUCCCAUAUACGUAAAACAAGCAUCAGGCAAACUAGUUCCGGUCAUGCAGGCUUAUGCCUAUACGAAAUAUUUGGGAAAGUUACUCGUAACUUUCAACUCUGACGGGGAAAUAGUCAAUGUAACUGGAAAUCCUAUCCUUUUAAACAAUUCAAUACCACAAGACCCCGACGUUUUAGCUAUUGUAGAAAGAUAUCAGGAUGAAGUGUACGCGAUAUCAGAAACGAUAGCCGGUAACUCAUCAGUAUAUUUAGAUGGUCUAUCAUGUCGGAUGUCUGAGUGUAAUAUGGGAAAUUUGAUAACUGAUGCAAUAGUUAAUAAAUACGCAAAAGAAUAUACUGGAAGUGGCUGGACCGAUUCCCCAAUAGCAAUUUUACAAGGCGGAGGCAUUCGUUCCUCAAUCAUUCAUGAGGGCCAGUAUUUUAAUAUCUCUGUAGGCGAUCUGUACACUGUCAUGCCAUAUGACAGUAGUAUUGUAAAGAUUACUAUAAAUGGGUCUGAUAUUGUAAAAAUGCUUGAGCAUUCUGUUGCCAGUUUUGGAAAAAGUCGUGGAUCGGCAAGGUUACUGCAAAUGUCCGGUAUGAGAGUGGUGUACGACUUAUCUAAGUCUCCAGGAAAAAGAGUUAAACAUACCGAAAUUCUAUGUGGAAAAUGUAAUAUUCCUAUUUACUCUAAUAUAAAUUUGACAGAAAAUUACAACAUUCUUCUGAAUGGCUUUCUUUCAAUGGGCGGAGAUGGAUAUACAGUAUUUAAAGAUUUGCCAGCAACUCCUCUACCAUAUAAUGAAUUUCAAUGUACUUUUGAGUAUUUAAAGAAAAUGAGUCCUGUGCGUCCCUCGAUUGAAAAUCGAAUAAUUAUGGCGAAUGUCAACAACGUUAUGCCAACGAAAAUCUCACAUAUUAUGUUGAUAAUAUCUUUUUUCAGCGCAAUUUAUUUAUAAUAAUACGUAAAAUUUUAAAACACAAAUCACAGAAUAGAAACUCAAAUAUACGUAAUUCGGUUUACUUAAAUAUCAGUAUUAAAUAGUUGCUUAUUUAUAUAUAUGUAUAUGGAGUAUCUUAAUUUUGAAAUUUAGACACUCUUUAUGCAUACGUGUUAGUAUUUUUAAGGUUUUCUUUACAUUGAAAGAAUGAAAGGUGUUAAAAACUAAAUGAAGUUCCUAUAAAAAUUGUAGAUAUGUUUAGUCUUAGUUUUAUUUGUAACGUAUUAAUUUAAUACAGAAAAUAUUUAAGCCAUAAAUGAAAAGAAUGUAUCACUUGACAAAAUAUAUUUAUUUAUAUCAUUAUAUAUGUACCUACUCUCUGAUGCAUAAAAUCACCGUUAAAAGUUUCUCUAAGCAUCUUAUUACUUCUACUGUUUUACGAAAUGUCACACCUUAUUGAUGUUUUAAAAGUCUCUGGGAAACCACGAGCUCGACCAUGGAGUUAGCGGACUAACGCCUUUUAUUGAAAAUCUAACAUGUCCCGUAUUGGCGGCUAAUCUAAUUUUAAAUAAAGUUCCUGAGUUAGAAAAGGAAACUAAUUU